rnacentral:rRNA from 1 species
UACGUAGGGUGCGAGCGUUGUCCGGAUUUAUUGGGCGUAAAGAGCUUGUAGGCGGCUCGUCGCGUCGGGUGUGAAAACUUGCGGCUUAACCGCAAGCCUGCACCCGAUACGGGCGGGCUAGAGUUCGGUAGGGGAGACUGGAAUUCCUGGUGUAGCGGUGAAAUGCGCAGAUAUCGGGAGGAACACCUGUGGCGAAAGCGGCGCACUGGACCACUUCUGACGCUGAGGCGCGAAAGCUAGGGGAGCAAACAGG